UACGUAGGGUGCGAGCGUUAAUCGGAAUUACUGGGCGUAAAGCGUGCGCAGGCGGUCUGUUAAGACCGAUGUGAAAUCCCCGGGCUUAACCUGGGAACUGCAUUGGUGACUGGCAGGCUUUGAGUGUGGCAGAGGGAGGUAGAAUUCCACGUGUAGCAGUGAAAUGCGUAGAGAUGUGGAGGAAUACCGAUGCGAAGGCAGCCUCCUGGGCCAACACUGACGCUCAUGCACGAAAGCGUGGGGAGCAAACAGG
rnacentral:rRNA from 1 species